rnacentral:rRNA from 1 species
ACGGAAGGCAGCAGUGGGGAAUAUUGCACAAUGGGGGAAACCCUGAUGCAGCGACGCCGCGUGAAGGAAGAAGUAUCUCGGUAUGUAAACUUCUAUCAGCAGGGAAGAAAAUGACGGUACCUGACUAAGAAGCCCCGGCUAACUACGUGCCAGCAGCCGCGGUAAUACGUAGGGGGCAAGCGUUAUCCGGAUUUACUGGGUGUAAAGGGAGCGUAGACGGAAUUGCAAGUCUGAUGUGAAAGGCAUGGGCUCAACCUGUGGACUGCAUUGGAAACUGUGAUUCUUGAGUGACGGAGGGGUAAGCGGAAUUCCUGGUGUAGCGGUGAAAUGCGUAGAUAUCAGGAGGAACACCGGUGGCGAAGGCGGCUUACUGGACGGCAACUGACGUUGAGGCUCGAAGGCGUGGGGAGCAAACAGGAUUAGAUACCCUGGUA